UCCCAACUCCAGUACCUGUUGUUGUAAAA
rnacentral:piRNA from 1 species